CCCUAGCCCCGAUAGCAGUGGAAAUUCUUUUGUGCCGAACCCCGGCACAAAAGAUUGGAACGGAUAACGAGAAGAGUU
rnacentral:sRNA from 1 species